GCGCGCGUAGCUCAGCUGGAUAGAGCACUAGUCUCCGGAACUAGGGGUCGCAGGUUCGAAUCCUGCCGCGCGUACCA
rnacentral:tRNA from 1 species